rnacentral:rRNA from 1 species
CCGCACGGGUGAGUAACACGUAUGCAAUCCACCUGUAACAGGGGGAUAACCCGGAGAAGUCCGGACUAAUACCCCAUAAUAUGGGCGCUCCGCAUGGAGAGCCCAUUAAAGAGAGCAAUUUUGGUUACAGACGAGCAUGCGCUCCAUUAGCCAGUUGGCGGGGUAACGGCCCACCAAAGCGACGAUGGAUAGGGGUUCUGAGAGGAAGGUCCCCCACAUUGGAACUGAGACACGGUCCAA